AGUGAACGCUGGCGGUAGGCCUAACACAUGCAAGUCGAACGGCAGCACAGUAAGAGCUUGCUCUUACGGGUGGCGAGUGGCGGACGGGUGAGGAAUACAUCGGAAUCUACUUUUUCGUGGGGGAUAACGUAGGGAAACUUACGCUAAUACCGCAUACGACCUACGGGUGAAAGCAGGGGAUCUUCGGACCUUGCGCGAUUGAAUGAGCCGAUGUCGGAUUAGCUAGUUGGCGGGGUAAAGGCCCACCAAGGCGACGAUCCGUAGCUGGUCUGAGAGGAUGAUCAGGCACAUUGGAACUGAGACACGGUCCAGACUCCUACGGGAGGAAGCAGUGGGGAAUAUUGGACAAUGGGCGCAAGCCUGAUCCAGCCAUACCGCGCGGGCGAAGAAGGACUUCGGGUUGUAAAGCCCUUUUGUUGGGAAAGAAAAGCAGCAGGUUAAUACCCCGCUGUUCUGACGGUACCCAAAGAAUAAGCACCGGCUAACUUCGUG
rnacentral:rRNA from 1 species